UUUCAUCACGGUUUCUAACAUAAAAAUCCACCUUCAAGAAUGAAAAAAAAAUCAUAUGAAGAUUAAUAAACAAUGGAACUUCUUAAAUCCUACAAAAACAAAAUUUUCAAUAAUCAACAACAAACACCAGAAAUUCUAAACAUAAAGCCAAAGCUACAUCACAAACCAGCUGUAAACAUGUCAAAAAAAUAAAACCAAAACUUGUUGACAUGAGAAAAUCUUUCACCCUUUCUCCUCCAAAAUGAACCUCCAGAAAAAGUAUCAACACCAAAAGAAAAAAAAAGGCAAAGGUAUAUUUGCAUGCCUUUACCUACAAACUGCACAAAAUAGUUCAGCAAAUUUUCUCAAAUCUGAUGAAAUUAACAUAUCCAUCAACUUAGAUAUUCAAUCAUAACAAUUUAUUCCAUCUUUAUAACAACAAUUAUCAUAAACCUGAAUCAAAUUGCAUCCAUCUUCAUCUGAAUAUUUAUGGUGUUACAUAAAUUUGAGUCAAACUGCAUAAUAAAUAUAUAAUAGAAAAUAAAUAAUACAAAUUCAUAUUAAUCAUGAUUAACUGUGAUGAAUCAUAACCAAAAUGAUUAUCAACUUCUUCGGAUGUGUCACCCAGUUUCUUCACUCAUGUAGCAACAUAUAUACACAUAUCAACAAACUGAAAGAAAAAAAAAGGUAAAAAUGUGUAUUUGCAUGCCUUUACUUACAAACUGCGAAUAAAUAGUUAAUCAGAUUUACUCAAAUUUUAAAACCUCGAAAAAAGAAACCUUAUUCCCAUACUCAAAUUCAAAUCAAACAUAUCUCAUACAUACACAACCCCAAAAUAUCACAAUAACAAAACACAAUUAACAACAUAGAGAAAAGUAGCAAAUCUGAAUGAGUUAUGUGUGAUGCUUGUUACUCGUUUUGAUCUUCGAUAUAAAUCUAUUUUCUCAUCUUUGUAGAUAUGGAUCCAUUUUUCCGUGAUAUUUGUAGAUCUGGAUCUAAACUGAUUAGUUGAAGAUGAAGAACAAUAAAACCCUAAAAUGAUGUGGAUGAACAAAUAUCAUAAAUCCAUUUUCAAAUAAAUACUUAUGUAACCUAAAAAGAAAAAUAUAAACCAUAUUAAACUUUAGUGGAGAUCUUUUAAAGCUUGCAUCAACACGAACACAUUAGAAUGAUAGAGAAAAGUUUGGAUCAUUUGAAACACUUUUCAAUUUUAGUUCUUAAAAUUUGUUUUUCAAAUCUAUUUUAAAAAAUUAUUUUUAAGAAGAAAAUUAAAAAAAAAAUUGUUUGAUAAACUAAUUUUUAAAAACUGUUUUGAAAAUAUGAAAAUGAAAAAACUUGUUUGAUAAUCUAAUCUUUUAAUAGUAUUUUAAGAAGAGAAUAAAUUUUUAUGUUUUUUCUUCAAGUUUUAUAAUACUAAAAACUAAAAAGUAAGAAGCAAAACACAACUAAACUGUUUCACUUUUUUGCUUUUAAAAACUGAAAAAUAGAAAAGAGUUUUUAAAAAUUUAUGUUUUUUCUUCAAGUUUUAUAAUACUAAAAACUAAAAAGUAAGAAGCAAAACACAACUAAACUGUUUCACUUUUUUGCUUUUAAAAACUGAAAAAUAGAAAAGAGUUUUUAAAAACACUUUUGUAAAACAUUAUAUUCAAACAAGUUUUUAAAUUUUAAAUUUUCAAAAAUUAAAAAAGAGUUUUUAAGAUUUAUUUCAAACAGGCCCUUAGUUACCUCAAAGGGUAUGACCAUGAUAAUCGCAAACAAAGUAAGGUUGAAGGAGGAAAACGAAAUAAAGUUUUUUUUGUAGAAAUAGUGGUAUUGAAAGGAAGAUCAAUAAAUGGCUUAUGAGGGAGAAAUGACGUGUUGGGACGGGUUUGAGAGAAGAGACAGAUAAAGGAUGUGAUGGAAGAAGUUUUAGUAAAAGAGAGAGUGACUAGACGUUUGCUUUUUACAAAAUGUGAAAGGAGACGGAAAAACAUUUGUUUCAAACCAGAAAGACAUUUUGGUUGAAUAACAACUGAAGUAGAGAGAAAGUUUGGCAAAAAGUUAUCUUGAAAAGAGGAAUCACGUUAGCUUCGAAUCAUUAUAUAAACUUAGUUGAUAAAAAGUUGUUUUAAACAAAAAUUAAUCCCAAAAUGAUGAGGUG
rnacentral:lncRNA from 1 species